rnacentral:lncRNA from 12 species
AUGCCACAUUAUGUCCCCAAACCUCUGUGUCCUGAGGAACAGCUAAGAAGUACCUGGUCGGGGAAACUGCUUCUUUCUGGAUCCUGAUAAGCCAAACUGGAAAGCAACUGGAGAAAACUUUGCCUGCGACACAUGUGGUUUCUAAAGCAAGGAAGCACACGUAUUCCUUGAAGAAUCCUGACUUUUACAAGGUGUCAACUUGGGGGCUGUGGUCAAAGUCACACCACCUGCUGAAGGAGGACGUGGCAGUUUCGCCACAAGGGGGCUGGCGUGGCUGUGCCUCGUCCAGCUGGGGGAGAGGAAGGGAAACUUGAAGAUGUUUCUGAAGAACCAUCACUUGCAAGAGAAUUUGAGACUUAACUAGAUGAAAAUGUCAAUUUGGCGCUCACUGGCUCUGCAUUCAGCUUGCGGCAGGGAAGUCUUUGGGUGAUAGAGGAAAGUACUGACGAUCUCCCUGUGGUAGGAGUGAACACUUUGGAUUACUGAUUACAGUUUGCAUCAGGAAGUGGGUUGUGAAAAAUCCUAAUUAGCGUGAAAUUAUAUUUCCCCAUAGUGUUGCGGUUCCUGACCCAUACAGACCUAUAGGGCUGUAAUUCUCGAGGUAAGGAAAGCGUUUGGAUGGUCCAGGCCUUCCAAUUGCCAACCCCCGGACUCGAAUGGUAUUUUGUACCCUCACUCCCAAGCUCAGAGAGGUACUUCUCAUUCAAAUGAGAAAGCAUCAUCUCUCCAAUGUAAAAGACUCUCGAGGUUAUUUCCCCUUGUUUGAGACAACUAAACACAAGGCGUGACCUAAUGAAAGUACAGUUGACUCUUAGAUAAUGUGGUGUUUGGGGGCACUGACCCUGCCAUCCACACAGUCGAAAAUCCACGUAUAUAGCUUUAGCUUCCCCAAAGACGUAACUACCAUGGCCAACUGUUGACUGAAGGCUUUACAAAUAACAUAAAUAGUAACAUGUAUUUUGUGUCUGUAUUUUAUACUGUAGUCUUACAAUAAAGUAAACCAAGGGAAAGAAAACA